UGUACGAUUAAAUAUUUUCCGUUUCAUUCUGUGCAGUUGUUCCAAAUUCCAUGCGGCUGAUUUUUCCUUGCUUGCAUCGAAGCGAAUUAUGCUGCUUGAUUGUCUUUUUUCGAAUCUCUCCGUUGAGCUGCGGUACGCAGUGCCGUGUGUGGGGGGAGAGAGAGGGGAGUGCAGUGCCGAGUGAGUGAGUGGUUCACUGUGCGUUCACCGUGCCGGGGGCUCAGAUAUGGGCAGGCGGUGGGCGCACCCCGAGCAGCUGCUCCCUCUCUUGCUCAAGCUGCUGGCUUUGGGUUGCGGGGUGGCCUUGGUCUGCGAGCUGGGUAUUUACUACGCGGUGCUGCUACGAUGUCGCUGGCCCCAGUUGAAAGCUUCAGCCCAGCGCGGGCAGUACAGACCCUCUGGGCCAGUGCUCAGGGCUUUGUUCCUUGCUGAUACCCAUCUACUGGGAGCACUCAGGGGUCACUGGUUGGACAAACUAAGAAGUUCAUGUGAAGAAUCACUGCUCAGCAGAUUUAAUGGAACAGUGCACCAGAACACACCAGUUCAGAAAAUGAUGGAAACACUCAGCAGGGAAUGGCAAAUGGAACGGGCCUUUCAGACAGCCAUGUGGCUCUUUGAACCAGAUGCUGUGUUUAUUCUUGGUGACCUGUUUGACGAAGGGAAGUGGAGUUCCCCAAAGGACUUUAAAGAAGAUGUGAGGCGUUUUCAAAUAAUGUUCAGACAUUCUACCACCACGGAGUUGUUCGUAGUUGUUGGCAAUCAUGAUAUCGGCUUCCAUCACGAGAUGGAUUCGUACAAACUGCAGAGGUUUGAGUAUACGUUUAACUUCACCUCCGCUAAAGUGGUGUCGAGGAAGGGUAUAAAUUUUGUUCUAGUUAACAGCAUUGCUUUGCAUGGGGAUGGUUGCUCCAUUUGCGAGGAAGUAGAAAAUGAUCUUCAUCAGCUCUCCUUGGCACUGAAUUGCUCCCGACAGCUGGAUUCAGAUCAUUCCAGUGAGAACUGUAAAGACAAGAGAAUAUUCACAGAAUAUUCCCCUCCUAUUUUACUUCAGCAUUAUCCCCUUUAUCGAGUCAGCGAUGCAGAGUGUACGGGCGAGGACUCUGCAUCCCCUGAGGAAAAGAAGCUGCUCUUCCGGGAGAGAUAUGACACCUUGUCCGCUGAAGCUUCUAAAAAGCUGCUGUGGUGGUUUCAGCCUCGUCUGAUCCUGAGUGGUCACACACACAGCGCCUGCACUGUGCUGCACGGGCAGCACCUCCCUGAGAUCAGCAUCCCUUCCUUCAACUGGAGGAAUCGCGACAACCCCAGCUUCCUCCUGGCCACCAUUACAGCAACAGACUUUGCACUCUCCAAAUGUUUCAUGCCAAAAGAAAGUACCGUAGGAGCCAUUUAUCUCACAGCGGGCGGUCUGGCAAUCCUUUUGAUCCUGUUGCAUUUCCAUUUCCACCAAUGGGUGACACACAGUUUGAUUAACAAACACAAACGUCUGGCAAAAGCACACCGAUCUGAUUAGCUUUGUUUGCCAUCACGUGGUGCACUGGAUUGGGUGAGAUUCUGUGAACUACUCUACUACUCCUCUGAGGAAAGGAAAUUGUUUUUUGAAUCUUUUGGUGGAUGGGUUAUAAAAAUCUCCUGAGAUUGUGGCCGUUUAGAACUUGUGAAAACUUGUCAAUGCCUGCAUUAAAACCAGCUUGGAAGUACGCUGAUCACGCUGCUUAAAUAAAUGGGAAAUGAAGUUUCGAGAAGCAAGUCCCAAGACAACACUCAACAUUAACAUCACUCCUUCACCAGCCUGAGAAAUAUUUGGCCUGGGUACCUGGCUCUCUCAGGCUUUAGGUGUUAUUUUUACUGACGGAUAAACAUUGUGUCAAAUAGAUUCAAAGAAACACACCAGCAAGGUAAACCAAUUUGUACAUAUUGCAGUUGAUAUAAAAUUUUGGUAGUAUUCUACUGAACUAUGUGGCUUACUUUCAAAUGAGAUAUAAAGCAAUGGUUUCUUCAUGUGGAAAGAAAAUGGAAUAUAAAUCAAUAUUUCCUAGAAACACUCAGUGUGUUUCUGAGUAAGUUGACAGUUUGUUUUACAGUAGCUGUUUUGCUGUGAGCUGUACACACUCUACCCAGCUCCAUGCCUUUGACCAGUGUAGUGAAACAGUAAAUCCUUCCAGACUCAGCCUACCCUUUCAUAGUCCGGUCUUACACACGCACAUCAACUUCCUGAACCUGUAACCAUGUGGAUGUAGGAGUCAGGGUGAAGUAUUCUGAAAGCAUGUCGAUGCAUUCUUGCUUCCUGACCACACAAGAAUAUCUGAUUUUGCCAAAAAUUCCAAAGGCAACCCUCACCAGGAUCAUUUAGUUAUUGGACCAGACCGCAGUGACAGCUUGUCAUCUGUCUACAGGGAACCAACCAGCAGCUGGCUGAAACAUGAAACAGUGUUGCUCCUGGCUUCUUUCUGUGUCAGUAGAUUCAGUGGUUGGAUACUGGGGCAAAAGAUAAACUGAAACAUGGGAUACACUUUAUACCUUGUCCCUUAUCUUACCCCCGGUCCAUAAUUGGCAAGAAUUCAUUUGAAUGGAAUGGACAAUAUUCAUUAAAAAGAAUAGUAUUGCUGUUUGUAAACAUUGAAUGUAUUUAUAUGAAUUUAUUCAUAUUUGUUUAUUCCUGUGAUUUUGAAAUGUCUUUGAUUAUGGGAGAGCUUUAGAAAGGUUAAAGAAGGUCUGUGGCAAGAGGAGCCAACAGAAGACGAUUGGCAUGAUCCUUGUUGUUGCUGACUGAUGCUGCCUUUGGAUUGACUGGGAGCCACACAAGGUUCAAGGACAUAAGAAGUUGGAGCAGGAGGGGUUCCUUUGGCUUUGGAAGCCUGUUCCACUAUUCAUUGAGACCAUCUACCUCAUCACAAUUUACAGUGCCUCCUGAUUCCUUAAGAUCCAGAAAUCCAUUGAUCCAUUUUUAGUAUGAACAAACUGAGUCUCCGUGGCUCUUCAGAGUAUAGAACGAGCAAGAAAUCCAAGCAACACUUGAGGAUCUCAGCAGGCCAGGCAGCAUCUAUGAAAAAACAAGUACGGUCAACGUUUCGGGCCGCGACCCUUUGGCAGGAAAGGAAAGGAGGCAGUUUGUCCACAGGAGAGCUGGAGAGCACUACAUGGAUGAGUAUCUGCAGCCAACAGUGAAGCACGGCGGAGGUACCCUACAUGUUUGGGGCUGUAUUUCUGCAAAUGGAGUUGGUGAUCUGGUCAGAAAUAAUGGAACACUCAAUGCUGAGAAGUACAAGCAGAUUCUUAUCCAUCAUGGAAUGCCAUCAAGGAGACAUCUAAUCAAUUCCAUCUUAAUCCUAGAGGAGGUGAAUGACCCCAAACACAGGGCCAAGGUCAUAAAGAACUAUCUUCAGCAAAAAGAACAAGGAGUUCUACAACAGAUGGUAUGGCCUGUACGGAGCCCUGAUCUCAAUAUCAUUGAGGCUGUCUGGGAUUACUGGAGGGACAGAAGCAAGCAAGACUGCCAAAGUCUGCAGAAGAACUGUGGCAAGUCCUCCAAAAUGCUUGGGACAACCUACCAUUCAAUUUUCUUGUAAAUCUGCAUGACAAUGUACCUAAGGGAAUUAAUGUGGUGUUAAAGGCCACACUAAUUCACACUAAAUGUUGAUUUGAUUCCAUUUUUUUUUACUGUUCUCUGCUCUUUAUAGUAAUUUUUGGAUAUUUAGUAACUUCAUUUAAUUAUUUUAAAAGCAUCUUCGUUUUACAGGAUUUUUGUACGUGUUUAAGAAUUUCGUAGCAUGCUCUCAGUGUUCCGCCAAACAAUGCGUAGCCAGUGAGGGUGCAGGGGAGAAUUAGUAGGUUGGUGCCUGGAGUUGAGGGUGUAACUUAUGAAGAAAGAUUGGGUAAGCUAGGCAUUUUCUGCUUGGACUGAAGGAGGACAAGAGGUAACUUGAUAAAGGUGGACAAGAUGAAAGUGGGUACUCUGAGAGGGCUUAAUUUUAAGGUGAUUGGAGGAAAGCAUAGGGGGAAUGUUAGAGGUAGGUUUCGUUACACAAAGAGUGGUGGGUUCAUGGAGCACUCUGACAGGGGUGGGGGUAGAGGCAGAUACUGUUCACUAGGAGGUGUUAACAUACUCUUAGAAAGGAACAUGGACUAUGUGGGAGGAAAGGAAUAGACUGCUCAUGGAGUAGGUUAAAACAUCAGUACAACAUUGGCAGGUACUGUGCUGUACUGCUCUAUACUCUAACUCAGUGGCAAACACUCAUUGGUCUGCACAAAUUGUAUUUGUCUUCCCAUACAGUAAGGGAAUGGUGCUGUCUGGUACAUUCCAGGCUGCAGGAGUAUAUGCUAAUGGAUGGAGGACAGUCCAGGCUCCUUCCUCUGCUGGGCAUGGAGGGGCUGAGCUUAGUGGGAAAGCCCCUCAAACACCAGAAGAGUUUAGUGAAAAUCUUGCUUGCAGUAGCAUCAUAGGUAUGUAGGUUCAGACAACACACAAGACAUAAAAUAUAUUGAACAGUGAACAAAAAAUGUGCUUAGUAAGACAUCAGUGCUAAAAUAGAACAUAGCAGAGACAAGUCCAUGGUAGUGCGAGAGAAUAUGCAUGAGGUUUUGGGGCACUUGAAAAUACAUUAUACAUAUAUACAUAGCUGAAGGUAGCAUGGUUUCCUUCAAGGGAGAUCCAGCAUUGACAAAUGUAUUGGAGUUUUUUGAGGAAGUAGCAAGUAGGAUAGACAAAGAAGAGACAGUGGAUAGACAAGAGAUUCUGCAGAUGCAGGAAAUCUUGAGCAAUCCACACAGAACACUGGAGGAAUGCCUGGUCUCACAAUUACCUGCCAGCUUGUACUCUUCCCCCUGCACUCAACUUCUUAUUCUAGCUUCUAUCUCUUUCAUUUCUAGUCCUGAUGAAGGGUCUCAGCCCAAAAUGUUGACUGUUAUUUGCUUCCGUAGAUACUGCCCGACUUGAUGAGUUCUUCCAGCAUUUUAUGAGUCAGUGGAUGCUGUUUACUUAGAUUUUCAGAGGGCUUUUGAUAAAGUGCUACACAUGAGGCUGCUAAAUAGGGUAGCAGCCCAUACUAUUAUCGAAAAAGUACUAGCAGAGAUGGAAGACUGGCUACACAAGAGAUGCAGAAAGCAAAGAGUGGAAAAAGGAGGGCCUCUUCUAGUUGGCUGUCAGUGACUGGUGGUGUUCUGCAGGGAUCAAUGUCGGACUGCUACUUUACAUGUUAUACAUUAAAGAUUUAGAUUACAGAGCUGAUGGCCUGGCCCACACUUAGAUUCAGUGCAUCUCACAGCACACAGUCCUGACCUUAGAAUGCACCAGCUUUCAACAUUUGGUUCUGGCUGAACAUCCUGUUACUUGAAAACCAAAGACCGUCUUUCAUCAAGUUAAUGGGCUGCUAAUCCAAGUUGACACGUGUAUCUGCACCUACACUGUGUGAAGUCUGCUGCUAAGCAGCUGUUUGAGAUAAUCUUUGAUAAAUACUUCUGCAACUUUCGCAGAACUUCCUGUAGAUAAUAAUCUCAUGGUGUUAGAGGUUCACACAGCAUGAAAAUAAGCCCUUCUGCCCAUGAGUCUGCACUGAGCACCAAGCAUCUGCUUACACAGCUUGUACGAAUUCCGUUUUCAACCCACAUUCCCAUCAACUACCCCCAUCCCCCCCCGAUUAUAGGCAAUAGACAACAGUCGAUAGGUGCAGGAGUAGGCCAUUCGGCCCUUUGAGCCAGCACCACCAUUCACUGUGAUCGUGGCUGAUCAUCUACUAUCAGUAUCCAGUUCCUGCCCUAUCCCCAUAACCUUUGAUUCCACUAUCUUUAAGAGCUCUAUCCAUCUCUUUUUUGAAAGCAUCCAGAGACUUGGCCUCCACAGCCUUCUGGGGCAGAGCAUUCCAUAUAUCCACCACUCUCUGGGUGAAAAAGUUUUUCCUCAACUCCAUUCUAAAUGGCCUACCCCUAAUUCUUAAACUGUGGCCUCUAGUUCUGGACUCACCCAUCAGCGGAAACAUGCUUCCUGCCUGCAGCGUGUCCAAUCCCUUAAUAAUCUUAUAUGUUUCAAUAAGAUCCCCUCUCAGCCCUCUAAAUUCCAGAGUAUACAAGCCCAGUCGCUCCAAUCUUUCAACAUAUGACAGUCCCACCAUCCCGGGAACUAACCUUGUGAACCUACGCUGCACUCCCUCAAUAGCAAGAAUGUCCUUCCUCAAAUUUGGAGACCAAAACUGCACACAGUACUCCAGGUGUGGUCUCACCAGGGCCCUGUACAGCUGCAGAAGGACCUCUUUGCUCUUAUACUCAAUUCCCCUUGUUAUAAAGGCUAGCAUGCCAUUAGCUUUUUUCACUGCCUGCUGUACUUGCAUGCUUGCUUUCAGCGACUGAUGUACAAGAACACCUAGAUCUCGUUAUGCUUCCCCUUUCCCUAACUUGACUCCAUUUAGAUAAUAAUCUGCCUUCCCGUUCUCACCACCAAAGUGGAUAACCUCACAUUUACCCACAUUAAACUGCAUCUGCCCACUCACCCAGCCUGUCCAAAUCACCCUGCAUUCUCAUAACAUCCUCCUCACAUUUCACACUGCCUCCCAGCUUUGUGUCAUCGGCAAAUUUACUAAUGUUACUUUUAAUUCCCUCAUCUAAAUCAUUAAUAUAUAUUGUAAACAGCUGCGGUCCCAGCACUGAACCCUGCGGUACCCCACUGGUACACCUGCCAUUCCGAAAGGGACCCGUAAUCGCUACUCUUUGUUUUCUGUCAGCCAGCCAAUUUUCAAUCCAUGUCAGUACUCUGCCCCCAAUACUAUGUGCCCUAAUUUUGCCCAUUAAUCUCCUAUGUGGGACUAUCAAAGGCUUUCUGAAAGUCCAGGUACACUACAUCCACUGGCUUUCCCUUGUCCAUUUUCAAAGUUACAUCCUCAAAAAAGUCCAGCAGAUUAGUCAAGCGCGAUUUCCCCUUCAUAAAUCAUGCCGACUCGGACCAAUCCUGUUACUACUAUCCAGAUGUGUCGUAAUUUCAUCUUUUAUAGUUGACUCCAGCAUCUUUCCCACCACCGACGUCAGGCUAACCGGUUAUAAUUCCAUUUUCUCUCUUCCUCCCUUCUUGAAGAGAGGGACAACAUUAGCCACCCUCCAAUCCUCAGGAACUGAUCCUGAAUCUAUAGAAAAUUCUAUCACUCACUUACAAUGGCCAGUUAACCUUCCGACUUGUCGAUGUUUGGGAUGUGGGAGAAAACUGGAGCACCCGAAGAAAAACUAUGCAGACAUGGACAAAAAGCAAAAGCUCCACACACACAACAUCCAAGGUCAGGAUUGAAGAUAAAGGCAGAAAAUCUGGACCUCUCAUCAAGUCAGGUGGCAUCUGCGGGGAGAGAAGCAGAGUUAAUGUUUCAGGUUUGAGGCCUUUGUCAAGUUUUCCAGGUUAGGAUCGAACCCAGGUGCUCUGAGGCAGUACCACCAUAACACAUCUCAGUUGUUAAAUGCUCCAGCAAGUACUCUUUGAAGGAAUGAGCACAUUCUAAGCACUUUAGGAAGUGGGUGAGUAUCUUCACUGAGUUGUGAGUCCAGUGGCCCAUACUAUGUACAUGUGGAAUCAACAACACAUAUCAAAUGAAUUGUUUUCAGGAGCAACACACACAAGCUGGAGAAACUCAGCAUGUCAGGCAGCAUCUGUGGAGGGAAAUGGACAGUUGAUGUUUCAAGUCAUAUAACACAAAUACUGGCCCUUUCAGCCCAUCUUGUCCAUGACGACUAAGGUGCCUGCAUUUAGCCCAUAUUCCUCUAAAUUUGUUUUAGAUGUCAUAAUCUACCUCCAGGAAACAGGUUUGACACAUAAGAGUUUCUUCAAGAAAUGAAUCCCAUCCUAAGGACUGGGUCAAGAUCCUUUUGUCAGGACUGCUCCCUAAAGGUCUCAUGUUCUGGAUGCAGGAGAGCAGAAUUUCACCUGGAGUUGAUAGUGAAUGCAAUUUACCUGGGAAAAAUCAGUUGUGGGUUAGUUUUUACAGGAAUAACAGCAGUGCAUUAGGAUUGAACAUAGGCAUCCUGAGUGAAUAAUAAGUACUAUGGGGCCCCAUGAAGGAAGUGAGCUAUUACAGUUCUGGACAACCUCUGAAUUUUUCUAUCCUAUUGAGAGAGAGGCUUAGAAGUUAUCCUAGGUCACAAAAGGCAGAUGGAGCAGUGUGAGUUUUUCUGUGUCCCCUAUCUCCAUCCUAAUCUAAUGAUCAACUCCACACAGAACUCAAUAUGCAAAAGUUGUAACUCACCACUGGCUGGUUAGCAAGGAGCUCAUGUGCAUGUUACCUCACAGAGCAGGGAGAGAAGUGCCAGAGUGUGGACGGAUGACUGGAGCUUUGAUUGGAGCAGAAGUGUAAUGAGAAGGUUGGGCUAUGCCACUGUUGUGGGACAAAGAUACAGGUCACAAUUUAGUGCUUGGGAAGGAUAUCAGGAAUUUAAUUUGGUAGUCGUGAGGGUUUCAAGGGAGGUCUGUAGU